GAUGAAGAACGUAGCGAAAUGCGAUACGUAAUGUGAAUUGCAAAUUCAGUGAAUCAUCGAGUCUUUGAACGCACAUUGCGCCCCCUGGUAUUCCGGGGGGCAUGCCUGUCCGAGCGUCAUUGCUGCCCUCAAGCACGGCUUGUGUGUUGGGCCCCGUCCUCCGAUCCCGGGGGACGGGCCCGAAAGGCGGCGGCGGCACCGCGUCCGGUCCUCGAGCGUAUGGGGCUUUGUCACCCGCUCUGUAGGCCCGGCCGGCGCUUGCCGAUCAACCCAAAUUUUUAUCCAGGUUGACCUCGGAUCAGGUAGGGAUACCCGCUGAACUUAAGCAUAUCAAUAAGCGGAGGA
rnacentral:misc_RNA from 1 species